CCACCUUAGUUGGUUCUGCGAACAUUUCGACUGGCAAUUCGAGCUGCCCCUUUAGACCCAUAUCAAUGGCAAUCUUUGGAGUCAUCUUGGAGAUAUCGACUUUAGGAUACAGUUUUUUAAUCAGAUUCAGACAUUGAUAGAACCCGUAGUCAUAUUCCCUCUCCGAGCUUUCAGCUACUUUCUCCUCAAAUUCUUCGGAGGCUUUGUACAGCUCCACUACCUUGGCUGCCC
rnacentral:lncRNA from 1 species